UACGUAGGGGGCAAGCGUUGUCCGGAAUCAUUGGGCGUAAAGAGCGUGUAGGCGGUCCGAUAAGUCCGCUCUGAAAGUCCGGGGCUCAACCCCGGGAGGCGGGCGGAUACUGUCGGGCUAGAGUCCGGAAGAGGCAAGUGGAAUUCCUGGUGUAGCGGUGAAAUGCGCAGAUAUCAGGAGGAACACCGAUGGCGAAGGCAGCUUGCUGGGACGUUACUGACGCUAAGGCGCGAAAGCGUGGGGAGCAAACAGG
rnacentral:rRNA from 1 species